rnacentral:rRNA from 1 species
GACGAACGCUGGCGGCGUGCUUAACACAUGCAAGUCGAACGGAAAGGCCCUGCUUUUGUGGGGUGCUCGAGUGGCGAACGGGUGAGUAACACGUGAGUAACCUGCCCUUGACUUUGGGAUAACUUCAGGAAACUGGGGCUAAUACCGGAUAGGAGCUCCUGCUGCAUGGUGGGGGUUGGAAAGUUUCGGCGGUUGGGGAUGGACUCGGGGCUUAUCAGCUUGUUGGUGGAGUAGUGGCUUACCAAGGCUUUGACGGGUAGCCGGCCUGAGAGGGUGACCGGCCACAUUGGGACUGCGAUAGGGCCCAGACUCCUACGGGAGGCAGCAGUGGGGAGUAUUGCACAAUGGGCGGAAGCCUGAUGCAGCAACGCCGCGUGCGGGAUGACGGCCUUCGGGUUGUAAACCGCUUUCGCCUGUGACGAAGCGUGAGUGACGGUAAUGGGUAAAGAAGCACCGGCUAACUACGUG